UUAAAGAAGAACAAUAAGGGAUGCCUGGGUGGCUUACUCAGUUAAGCGUCUACCUUUGGUUCAGGUCAUGAUCCCAAGGUCCUGAGAUUGGAUCCCAUACCAGGCUCUAGUAGGGGGCCUGCCUUCCCUCUGCCUGCUGCUCCCCUUGCUUGUGAUUUCUCUCUCUUCCUCUCUAACAAAUAAUAGUAAAAAAUAAACAAGGGCGAUAAGUAAUGUUUACUUUUGUUUCUGAUGCCAGACAGGUUCAGAGGAUUGAAGAGGGAGAUCCAAGGAGCUAGCCUCUUAAAAGGAGUGAAUACCUAGUCACUGCAUUUCUCCAUUUGAACUGGCCACCUUUUAAGUGGUCAUUAGCCACAUGUGGCUGCUAGCCAUGGGACUUGGACAGCAGAGGUGUGGAAAGUCCACACAUUCUUCCACUCAAAGGAUAUUAGAAGGCCACUAGAAACAGCAGGUGAUGGCCCCAGCUCCUGUCCCUUCAUGCAGAACAUCUGUCAACACCUAUGGACAUCUUUUCUUCCCCAUUCCUAUGAAUGUUGCUCAGUUGUUACAUGGUGUGGACAAAUGCUGCUGGCUGGUGGCGUGGACACACUGGACAAACUUGGCCUUUGGUAAAACAAAGACUGGAUUCAAUUACUCAAACUGAAAUGGGAAUGCUUGGAUAAACAAGCCUGCCAGGAAGUCCCAUUGAAGGUACUCAACCUGUGCCCCUUCCCUCUUUGGACCAAGAGCCUGAACCUGAGAGAUGAAGGGCUUAUCCAAGGUUAUGGCAAGGUUAUGCAGAGCUGAAAGUAGACACAGGUGUACAUGCUUAUUGGUUAAGGCUGGCUGUGAAGUCGAACUGCCUCAAAUCUUGAUUCUCUUUGCCACUUCUUAUUCUCUGACCCUGUUUUUUGUAGUUUAGGACGUAGGGAUAAUAACAAUAUCAGCUAAUGGGGUAUCCUGACUUUUUGAUAUUUUAGUUCUUGUCAGACAUUUACCAUAAUGCAUAGCACAUGGAUGUGUGGGUGCACACACAUGCACAUGCUUGACACUCGAAAAAUUGUUCCCUGAUAUUAACUUUAUCAGUGCACUUUGCAUCCACCACCAAUUGGCUGUUUUGUCACAAACUGAUUAAAGCAGAACUGUCAAGUGAGGAACUUCAAAGCCAAAGCAUUAAGUGCUGUGAGAAACCAGCACCUGGGAGGUUUUGUCUCAGCAUCUGUGAUUAGAAGGCAGGAAAAAGAGACUUUGGGGACACAGUUCACCCCUUCAUGAAGCAGCCAUUCAGAACUUUCUCAGAAGGGCUAAUGCCUAAUCUUCCAAAGACCAGAAAGAACAAGCUUAUGGCC